rnacentral:tRNA from 1 species
GGGUUGCUAACCCAACGGUAGGGUAAUUGGCUCCCAACCGAUCAAUUGGGUUCGGGUUGACCGGGCGGGGCC